rnacentral:rRNA from 1 species
AGACCGAUAGCGAACAAGUAGAGUGAUCGAAAGAUGAAAAGCACUUUGGAAAGAGAGUCAAACAGCACGUGAAAUUGUUGAAAGGGAAGCGCUUGCAGCCAGACUUGCUUGCAGUUGCUCAUCCGGGCUUUUGCCCGGUGCACUCUUCUGUAGGCAGGCCAGCAUCAGUUUGGGCGGUGGGAUAAAGGUCUCUGACACGUUCCUUCCUUCGGGUUGGCCAUAUAGGGGAGACGACAUACCACCAGCCUGGACU